rnacentral:rRNA from 1 species
AUGGUUUCCGCCAACCCAGCUCGUAACAUCGUCGGCGUCAUCGGCAAUGUCAUCUCCUUCGGGCUCUUCCUCUGCCACGCGCCGAUGUUCCGGCAGAUCUGCAAGGCCAAGGACGUAGAGGAGUACAAGCCGGACCCCUACCUGGCGACGCUGCUCACCUGCAUGCUCUGGGUCUUCUACGGCCUCCCCAUCGUGCACCCCAACAGCAUCCUCGUCGUCACCGUCAACGGGAUCGGCCUCGUCGUCCAGCUCGUCUACCUCAUCAUCUUCUUUAUCUACUCCACCAACAACAAGCGGUCAAAGAUGCUCGCCGUGCUCGGCAUCGAGGCGGCGUUCAUGGCGGCCGUGGUGGCCGGCGUGCUCCACGGCGCACACACCCACGAGAUGCGCUCCAUGAUCGUCGGCAUCCUCUGCGUCAUCUGUGGCUCCGUCCAGUACGCCUCCAAUCUUACCGUCAUGGUUCGUGUGAUCAGAACCGAGAGUGUUGAGUACAUGCCAUUCUUCCUGUCGCUGGCGAUAUUCCUCAGUGGCUGCUGCUGGACGGCCUAUGCGCUCAUCGAGUUCGAUCUCUACGUGGCGAUCCCCAAUGGGCUCGAGGCAGUUUUAGGCCUCAUUCAGCUGAUCCUCCACUUCUUCUACUACAAAUCGACCCUCAAGAAGAAGAACAUUGAGCUGCCCACCGUCAUUGUUGACAGUGUUGAUGCUGUUCUGCGGCGGUCAUGGGGGGUUACUGAUUCUGGCGUGUAUUUCCUUCUGGGGCCUUGCUCAUCGGUGGUGCGUAGCCCUGGAGCCUAG